rnacentral:rRNA from 1 species
GGGUUGUGAGGUUAAGCGACUAAGCGUACACGGUGGAUGCCCUGGCAGUCAGAGGCGAUGAAGGACGUGCUAAUCUGCGAAAAGCGCCGGUAAGGUGAUAUGAACCGUUAUAACCGGCGAUGUCCGAAUGGGGAAACCCAGUGUGACUCGUCACACUAUCAUUAACUGAAUCCAUAGGUUAAUGAGGCGAACCGGGGGAACUGAAACAUCUAAGUACCCCGAGGAAAAGAAAUCAACCGAGAUUCCCCCAGUAGCGGCGAGCGAACGGGGAGGAGCCCAGAGCCUGAAUCAGCAUGUGUGUUAGUGGAAGCGUCUGGAAAGGCGCGCGAUACAGGGUGACAGCCCCGUACACAAAAGCGCAUGUGCUGUGAGCUCGAUGAGUAGGGCGGGACACGUGGUAUCCUGUCUGAAUAUGGGGGGACCAUCCUCCAAGGCUAAAUACUCCUGACUGACCGAUAGUGAACCAGUACCGUGAGGGAAAGGCGAAAAGAACCCCGGCGAGGGGAGUGAAAAAGAACCUGAAACCGUGUACGUACAAGCAGUGGGAGCCCCACCACUAAGCCAGUGGUGAAAUCCGCAUACGCAUCCUUUGCUGAGGAUACGGUUAACGGAGCGAGAGCGACGUUCAACCGCAAAAGAAGCAGAGGGGGCUUAGUGGUGGGGUGACUGCGUACCUUUUGUAUAAUGGGUCAGCGACUUAUAUUCUGUAGCAAGGUUAACCGCAUAGGGGAGCCGAAGGGAAACCGAGUCUUAACCGGGCGUUAAGUUGCAGGGUAUAGACCCGAAACCCGGUGAUCUAGCCAUGGGCAGGUUGAAGGUUGGGUAACACUAACUGGAGGACCGAACCGACUAAUGUUGAAAAAUUAGCGGAUGACCUGUGGCUGGGGGUGAAAGGCCAAUCAAACCGGGAGAUAGCUGGUUCUCCCCGAAAGCUAUUUAGGUAGCGCCUCGUGAAUUCAUCUCCGGGGGUAGAGCACUGUUUCGGCCAGGGGGCCAUCCCGGCUUACCAAUCCGAUGCAAACUGCGAAUACCGGAGAAUGUUAUCACGGGAGACACACGGCGGGUGCUAACGUCCGUCGUGAAGAGGGAAACAACCCAGACCGCCAGCUAAGGUCCCAAAGUCAUGGUUAAGUGGGAAACGAUGUGGGAAGGCCCAGACAGCCAGGAUGUUGGCUUAGAAGCAGCCAUCAUUUAAAGAAAGCGUAAUAGCUCACUGGUCGAGUCGGCCUGCGCGGAAGAUGUAACGGGGCUAAACCAUGCACCGAAGCUGCGGCAGCGAACGUAUCACCCAAGACAACUUUACACAGUUGACGACUGACGGAGCGAAGCGACGUCAAAGCGUUUUACAACGUCGAGUUGGCUUAGGGAUACGUUCGUUGGGUAGGGGAGCGUUCUGUAAGCCUGUGAAGGUGGCCUGUGAGGGUUGCUGGAGGUAUCAGAAGUGCGAAUGCUGACAUAAGUAACGAUAAAGCGGGUGAAAAGCCCGCUCGCCGGAAGACCAAGGGUUCCUGUCCAACGUUAAUCGGGGCAGGGUGAGUCGACCCCUAAGGCGAGGCCGAAAGGCGUAGUCGAUGGGAAACGGGUUAAUAUUCCCGUACUUGGUGUUACUGCGAAGGGGGGACGGAGAAGGCUAUGUUAGCCGGGCGACGGUUGUCCCGGUUUAAGCGUGUAGGUGUGUGUUCCAGGUAAAUCCGGUUCACUUUAACACUGAGGCGUGAUGACGAGGCACCACGGUGCUGAAGCAACAAAUGCCCUGCUUCCAGGAAAAGCCUCUAAGCCUCAGGUAACAUCAAAUCGUACCCCAAACCGACACAGGUGGUCAGGUAGAGAAUACCAAGGCGCUUGAGAGAACUCGGGUGAAGGAACUAGGCAAAAUGGUGCCGUAACUUCGGGAGAAGGCACGCUGACACGUAGGUGAAGUGAUUUACUCAUGGAGCUGAAGUCAGUCGAAGAUACCAGCUGGCUGCAACUGUUUAUUAAAAACACAGCACUGUGCAAACACGAAAGUGGACGUAUACGGUGUGACGCCUGCCCGGUGCCGGAAGGUUAAUUGAUGGGGUCAGCGCAAGCGAAGCUCCUGAUCGAAGCCCCGGUAAACGGCGGCCGUAACUAUAACGGUCCUAAGGUAGCGAAAUUCCUUGUCGGGUAAGUUCCGACCUGCACGAAUGGCGUAAUGAUGGCCAGGCUGUCUCCACCCGGGACUCAGUGAAAUUGAACUCGCUGUGAAGAUGCAGUGUACCCGCGGCAAGACGGAAAGACCCCGUGAACCUUUACUAUAGCUUGACACUGAACAUUGAGCCUUGAUGUGCAGGAUAGGUGGGAGGCUUUGAAGCGUGGACGCCAGUCUGCGUGGAGCCGACCUUGAAAUACCACCCUUUAAUGUUUGAUGUUCUAACGUGGACCCGUAAUCCGGGUUGCGGACAGUGUCUGGUGGGUAGUUUGACUGGGGCGGUCUCCUCCUAAAGAGUAACGGAGGAGCACGAAGGUUGGCUAAUCCUGGUCGGACAUCAGGAGGUUAGUGCAAUGGCAUAAGCCAGCUUGACUGCGAGCGUGACGGCGCGAGCAGGUGCGAAAGCAGGUCAUAGUGAUCCGGUGGUUCUGAAUGGAAGGGCCAUCGCUCAACGGAUAAAAGGUACUCCGGGGAUAACAGGCUGAUACCGCCCAAGAGUUCAUAUCGACGGCGGUGUUUGGCACCUCGAUGUCGGCUCAUCACAUCCUGGGGCUGAAGUAGGUCCCAAGGGUAUGGCUGUUCGCCAUUUAAAGUGGUACGCGAGCUGGGUUUAGAACGUCGUGAGACAGUUCGGUCCCUAUCUGCCGUGGGCGCUGGAGAACUGAGGGGGGCUGCUCCUAGUACGAGAGGACCGGAGUGGACGCAUCACUGGUGUUCGGGUUGUCAUGCCAAUGGCACUGCCCGGUAGCUAAAUGCGGAAGAGAUAAGUGCUGAAAGCAUCUAAGCACGAAACUUGCCCCGAGAUGAGUUCUCCCUGAGACUUAAAGUCUCCUGAAGGAACGUUGAAGACGACGACGUUGAUAGGCCGGGUGUGUAAGCGCAGCGAUGCGUUGAGCUAACCGGUACUAAUGAACCGUGAGGCUUAACCUUACAACGCCGAAG